CUUUUGGAUAUAUGAAGAAAUUCUGCAGAAAUUGCUUGUCAAUUCUCUUCUCCGAAAGUCCUCUUCAUAGCUUGUUUCUCCACUUCAACUUUCUUCCUCUUGUGGAAGCCUUCUGAGUUGUAACCAUCCUUUCAAGCUAGCCUCCAUACCAUUCACCUUUUUAGCAUUUUCCUCCGCUGCCUCCCUAUCACAAAUUCCACAUCCAGAUCUGGACAUUGUUGUUGUCUCAGAUCUGCUCUCUGCUGGACCUGAUUCAAACCUUUUAACUGGUUGAAUCUUCUCAUCCAGAAUUCAACUCUCGUUGAAUCUGUUCAGCUUCGUUUUCCUGUUUAAAUUUUAAUUGUGGAGCACUAGCUUACUCUAUGUUGAUCGAGAAAGCAAUGGAAAUUCAUCCAACUUUGAUCAUUCAGGUAAAAAGCAGUGCCAAGCAGUUUUGUUUCUGUAUUGAAAGCUAUUAAAUCCGUUUCUAUUUCUGGUUGCUGGUUUAAGUUCUGCAUUGCUUUAAUUCAGUUUUUGUGGCUACAAAUCUUAUGUUCAAUGGAUUGAUGAGUAUCUAAAAAUCAUUCAACAGAAUAUCAUCACAAAUUUAUGAUUUGAAAUAGCCAAAAUGUUGUCAAAAUUCUGGAUUAAAACUCUGCAUACUGUCAUGAAUUCUGUUUGGUAGUUUGGCACCGUGCUACAUAUCAUUGCUUACAUCUUAGGAAUUAUAACAUCCACUAGCUUGAAAUUCUCGAGCUAGAUCUUGAGUUGGAAUCCAUUCUUUUUCAUCAAAUUCCUAGCCUGCAUAAUUUUUGCAUCCAUUAAAUCUGAUUCAUGUGCUGCAACAUAGUGAAUUCUGCACAAUUUGGCAACUCAAGUGGUGAAAAUGAGCAUAUGCUGUAAUCUGUGCAUCUAACACCUCUGGACAACUUUGUUUGGUCAUUUAAAAUGUGCCUAAACUGAGUUAUUGGCCAAACUUGCACAGAUGCACAAAAUCAUCAUGUCACUUCCUUAUUUUGCUUGAAAUCAUCAACUAGAACAGUCAUUAGCCUAAUACAGUUGUUUAACAUUGAAUUGGUUGAUUAAACACCUGUAUUAAGUGAAUCAAAGUUGGCAUUUACUGUUCAUAUGGUCAGAUGUCCAAAGAAGCUUGGUUCCACUACCUAGCACACAUUCAUUGGCUAUUUUCUUGGAAGUGUCUUAGUGAAAUUCUGUUGUAGAUAGUUUCUUGGCUGCAUCACUGGUUGAACAUCAUUCUUUGCAUCAUAUAAUCUUGCUGGAAGUCAUAAACAUAGAAUAUCUCAGUGGCAUUGCUAUUUUCACAAUCUUCCAGCCAUCAUAAAUGGUGCCUUCAGUUUUGGUCUACAGUUUAAAUUGAGUUGUGUUUUGAUUUAAGUGUUUGGGAUUGACAAAAGCUGGGAUCAAUUCUAUAUAUUCAUUACUGUCUUUGAAAUGUUCCAAUCAAAGGUAAAAAGCUUUAAAUCCCGCAAUCCUGUUUGUAACCAUGACAACAAAGUCUGAACUACAAAAUUCUGUUUUUCUUUGAGUCAUUUCAUCAAACAGUUUGCUAAAUUUUAUGAAUUCACUAUGAAAUCCUAUACACUAUAGCAUACUUUCGUUUUAUUGCUUUUAAAAUCCACUCUAGAGCAUAUCCUAAGUUCCUUUUGGAUUGCUACCUCUGUUUAUAGCUUUAAUUGAUAGUUUGUCAUUGAUUGAAUUCCCUGCACUGAAACUGUUUGACAAAAUGACAGCUGUGCAAACUGGUAGUCAAUUUUGAUUAAUACGGCAGAGGUGAUCUGUAACACUAAGUCCUUGUUGAAUUGGUGUUUAUAGUUCAGAAUUCUCAUCACACAGAGGGAGCAUCAAAGGAAGUUAAUUGUUGAGAAACAAGUGUAUGAAUUUGGCUCAAGGAUAAGGAGACAAUUGCAAACAGCAGCAGAAUUCUCUGCACCGUAUAGCAGCAGAAUUCUUUGAUGCAUACAGCAGCAGUUUGACAGCAGAUUUCAUUCACUUUGCAGUUGAGAGAUUAGUGUGAAUUGAAGCAAUUCACUCACUGUUUUUGAGAAGCUAGAGCUGCAUACAUUUAUUACUCCUUUUGUCAAUUCAUUUCCUUUUCAUUUCAUAUAAUUUUUCCUUGUAAAAGUUAAUUUGUUCUUUGGUUUGUAAAAGGGCCAUUUCAAGCAAAUGAUGUGGAAGAGCUCAUAAGUGUUCUUCCCUCAUUUGUUAACUUGACUUAAAAAGUCUCACCACCUUAAAAUUGGUAGACGGUGAGUGUGUCUUAGAUCCAACGUCUAAGCCUCACCUAGGAGACACCUCACCUUUACUUUUCUUUUUCCUUUCAAGUUUCCAUAUCCUUC
rnacentral:lncRNA from 1 species